UACGGAGGGUGCAAGCGUUAUCCGGAUUCACUGGGUUUAAAGGGUGCGCAGGCGGGCUAUUAAGUCCGUGGUGAAAUCCCGGGGCUCAACCCCGGAACUGCCAUGGAUACUAUUUGUCUUGAAUGUCGUGGAGGUUAGCGGAAUAUGUCAUGUAGCGGUGAAAUGCUUAGAUAUGACAUAGAACACCUAUUGCGAAGGCAGCUAACUACGCGAAUAUUGACGCUGAGGCACGAAAGCGCGGGGAUCAAACAGG
rnacentral:rRNA from 1 species